rnacentral:rRNA from 1 species
GCGCAUACGGUGGAUGCCUUGGCAGUCAGAGGCGAUGAAAGACGUGGUAGCCUGCGAAAAGCUUCGGGGAGUCGGCAAACAGACUUUGAUCCGGAGAUGUCUGAAUGGGGGAACCCAGCCAUCAUAAGAUGGUUACCUUACACUGAAUACAUAGGUGUAUGGAGCGAACCAGGGGAACUGAAACAUCUAAGUACCCUGAGGAAAAGAAAUCAACCGAGAUUCCCUUAGUAGUGGCGAGCGAACGGGGACUAGCCCUUAAGUGGCUUUGAGAUUAGCGGAACGCUCUGGAAAGUGCGGCCAUAGCGGGUGAUAGCCCCGU